rnacentral:rRNA from 1 species
UACGUAGGGUGCGAGCGUUUAAUCGGAAUUACUGGGCGUAAAGCGUGCGCAGGCGGUUUUGUAAGCCAGGUGUGAAAUCCCCGGGCUCAACCUGGGAAUGGCAUUUGGGACUGCAAGGCUGGGAGUGCGGCAGAGGAGACUGGAAUUCCUGGUGUAGCAGUGAAAUGCGUAGAUAUCAGGAGGAACACCGAUGGCGAAGGCAGGUCUCUGGGACUGACACUGACGCUCAUGCAC